CUGUGAUUUGAUCCGUCACUCCACCUCCCUCCACGGUUCGUAUCCUAGGAUUGUUUCAGUUUCAGCUCCAUAAUGGGGCCCGGAGGCCCAUAACCCAUGCAGUAUUUAUCUUCGUCAAUACUUCCACCUUCUAGCUCACAAAAAAGUACUUCCACCUAUUUCUUUCGUUGUCCACUAAAUCUGCCACCGCAGGCGUCGCCUAGGUGCAAAACAGAUCAGCUGGUCUUCUACGGCAGCGGCCGACACAUGCAGGCCUUGCCGGCAUCCAUCACAAGCUCCCAGCAACUAGGUCCAACAUCUUCGCGUCAAGCGUCGUACAUGCUCUUCCCAUGUGAAUCUAGCCUCCGACGGGAAAAGAUAAUCAAGUACCCAUGAAGAUUACGCCAAUAUGCCCUGGAUUUUGUGUCCCACUUUUAAAACUGACAGACUACUAUAGUAUACGGACAAUGGUUCUUUCUUAGCAUGAUUGUUUCAAAGAUGAAUCAGCCAAUUACUUUGCAGCUAUGUUUUUGAAAAAUAAGAGUAUAACAGUGUUCACGAAAUCAAGUGGAAGUAGUUUCUGGAUAUCUUAUGGAAGGUAGAUAUCAACAUAUUCUAGCUGUUACACAGCUACCUAAAUGUUCAACGGCAUAUGAUUUCCUUUAAUGAUGAUAAGGACUGGCAUUGCUUCCAUAGCUGAAGCGUAGGUUUCAGCUAUAGUAGGAACAGUUGGAGUAGCUACGACCAGGCAUGCAUGGGAUAUUGCUCGGUUUAUGAAGAUCGAUCCUGCACUUGGUUUUAUGCCCAGUAAA